GCCCAGAAAGCGAGCAGUGGUGAUCUGGGCCUUUCCCGUGUAGGUAGUCAGCCAAGUUUGACACAGCAACUGUUGGGCACAGACAUCUAGACUCAGACUGAAGAAUUAUGACUUCUCCUGGACCAGGAAAUCUGCCAUUGACCAAAGCCUGGCAAAGGAAGGAUUUGAUCUGCUGCUCGGAUUUUAGCGUUAGACGCCAACCCUGCAGUCAAGAUCAAGAUGGAUACGUCGCCUCAGCAGCCCACAGUUCUAUGUCACGCUCAGCAGCCUUCCUUUCACCUAUACCGCUGGCUGAAUUUCAAUUAUCCAGGUUUGUGAAGUAUUAAAUGUCUUGUGCAGUUAGCAAUCUUCAGAUGUGACGUUAGACGUCCGUGAUGGUUUGUUGGCUUUCACUAGGCGUCUACUUUUCACCUAUCUUUGUCACCACCUCAGUACCCUUUGUGACGUGUAAACUAGCGCAACCUAUUCCUGUGUACCUCUCCUUCUCAUUCUGAAUGAUUUAGCACUUGUGAUGGUUGUGUCUGGUAGGGUUCAGAACACCUCCAUUCUGCACUAUUCCUUUUGUGUUGAUAUGUCACAUGUGAGCUAGUUGAGUGUUUACACCUCAGUGCGCCAAUAUCUUUUCUAUAAAAUAGCAUUACUGUAUUCAGCUAAACCCCUUCAUUCAACAACUGCUUCUCCUCUGAUGAGUUCCCCGCUAUUAUCUCUGUGGAACGAAACAAGACUUGUCAGGAGUACUACUACUUGCUUUCGUGGAGUGUGGCUGGUGAACUGUUCGUGCUGUGCUGUGAUCUGCAAGCGUCGUGUGGUCUCGUCGGGUCAAAUGAAAAACCUAGUACUAAUGACUAUUAGUAUUACACUGUAACAGGUAGCAUGCAGUGACAGGUACGGGCCGCGGUGACAUCGUC